CAAAUGGGGUGAGCACCCAGAUGACCUUGUUCUGUAGAUAGGGUCCUUUAAUGUGUUUAUGUCAAGAAGAGGAACAAGAAGACAGGUUGUUCAGUUGAAGGUGAUGGAGCCAUCCCCAUGGAGCUGUAACAGAACCUGGAUGGGAUAAACUCUCGCAGGAAAGGAUGCUGGGUCUGAUUCUCUGUUGCCUCACAACCUUUUGUAGCUGCUGGUCCAGUGCAAAAAGGAUGAGAAAUACUGAAUGAACUAUUCCUAGUGGGGCAGGGGAAUAGCAGCACCAAGAGGAAAGCUUAGGUGGGAGCUGCAGUCCUUCCAUGCAAACGCUCCUGCACGUUUUUGGCAAAUGAGGCAGAAUACAUUCGUGGGGCACAUCAAUGGCAGCAGCCUGCAAAGGGCUCAGGGAGGGCCUAAUCACCUCUUCAGUAGUGGCACAGCUGCCAUGUGGGGAAGGAUGACUUUUACUGUGCUGCUGUGUGUUGGAUGAGAUGGCAGCUCCCUGCUGAAUGCCGUGCUGGGUUGGGGGCCUUAAGAUGUGUAACAUAUGUGAAGCAGUUGUUGUUAAAAGAAGUUUUGUGGGGAUCUUGCACGUGGCUAGUUGGAACACGUGGUCAGAUCCACGCUGAUUGACCCUGGCUGGACAUCAGAACUGCUGGGUAUGUGAAAUCCCACCAGGGAUGGAAAAUUCACCAUGGGUAGAAAACUGGUUUACCUUUGUUUGUGUGCAUGGCUCAGGAUAUAACAAGGAUGUGGCAGCCAGCACUUCUUAUGAGGGUCUGGAGCCCAGAGGUGGCACGGCACUGUACUGAGCACAUGAAGGGUGAAGAAAUAGCACCAGUGUCCUGCUGGAGUGCAUCACUUCACACUGGGUUAACCUGGAAGGCUUAUUCUGAUGGCAGCCUAGUUGGACUAGAUGACAGCCAAGUCCCUUCCAACCCCCACAUUUUUGUGAUUUUGGGUGAAUUGACUCUAGUGUGUGAUUUUGUGACUCUCUAUCAAAAUGUCCCCUAUUAGGCAGGCAAGAACUCUGGUCAAGGGCUGUCUUUUUGCUAUUGAGUGGAACAGUAGUUAGUGCAUAAUGGUUCCAACUUCUCACUAAAACCUCUCUGGGCUUUACUGUACUGUGAGCAAAAAGUAAUGAGAUUGACCAGAACAAAAAAGCCCCAGGAAUUUUGAUUUUUUUUCUACCAGACUGAGCUGCAGAGUGUCCCCCAUCCCUUAAGGACUGGUGAACGUGGGAGUAUUUCUAUGGCCAGUGGGGUGAGUGGGCUUAAAGCACGUGGAUCUGCAGAACGAGGGUUUAACUCCUCCACAACCUGCCAGCCAGCACUGUGCUUGGCACUCGAACAAACCAACUGCCGCUUUAACCAAUGUGAUGCUACAGCCACGUUAAGCCAAACAUGAUGUGGCCUUUUUGGGCUUGGUUGACCCUGCUGGCAGUGCUGUGCCCAUGUCACCCUGAUAUGUCAACUGCUUGCUUUGCUGGGACUACCAGGUUUAGUCAAAGGCACCUGAAAUGAAUGUGCCAAUGCCUGAAGAUGGUUGGUAGAGAUUUAUAUUUUUAAGCUCCUCUAUUGACUUUUUCCUUCCAAUCACAAUGACACUUUCUUCUCUCGAGGCUGCAUUCAUCCUUUUCUUUGCCCUGCUAAAUUCUGCUUUUUAUCUGCUAGGCUGUUUCUGUCUUGUUUCUGAGUUCAAUGGCCAGGUGGUUGGGACAGGCUCUGUAUCUGGGAGACACCUGGGGAAACCAAGAAGCAGAGUUUUUAAUUAUUGGCUGGACUAUACUUGAUUUAUCCUCUUUCCAUCAUUGUGAUUGCUUUAUCUGUUUUUAAUGUCCGCUUUCUUUAAAAACAAGUGCUGGGGGAGAGUCAUGCCCUGAGCUGGAUCCCAGAGAUGUGCCUUCAUGUGACUGCUGCAGGUUCCUGUGUUGAGCACCUCAUCCUUUGCUUCCUGUAGUCCUUUGCUGUGCCCUAGACUUGGCCAUAGCUCCUGCUGUCCUCCUGCUUAUGCCAGGGCUGUGCUCCAUUCAGUGUGGCGUGGGAAAAGCAAGGAGUGGGCAACGAUGUGCAGGGCCUGAGGGGUGUCAGGUCUUGGUAAGCCCACAGGGUGUGUCUAUUCUUAAUAAUUUGAAGAUUUUUACAAAUUGGCUUUCUGGAGCUGGGAGAUGGGCUGGGGAAAUGGGGAUCUCCUGCAAGCAAACCCCUGUGUCUUCCCAAGGAAGUCUACUCAGCUGCUGCCUUAGAGGAGCUCAGGGAGUUCUGGAGCGGCUGCGUGGGAGGAGAAGAGGGAUUUGUGGUUCAGCUUCUGGGAAUUGAAGUGUUGAAAUCUUGCCAGCCGAAAAUGAGAUGCCUUUAAAACUAGGGUGAAAUCCAGGCCUCGCUGAAAUCACUGCAAUUUCAUUUUGGGCUUCAGUAGCAUCAAGACAUCACCCCAGCUCAGUGGGGAAAGGGUCGGAGGAGUGUCCACUGCAGUGCUUGCUGCUGAAGCUCUGUAGCCUGAACCUUCAUAGAAAAAUAAGUGUCACAGCUGCAGUGCCAGAGCACUCCAACUUGCAUGUGCAUAUUCAGAUAACACAGGAAAAACUAGUGAGGGGGUGUCUGUAGGGUUAAACUUCCUACUUUCCUUUUUAUAGUCAGGAGGGUGUGCUGGGUAUGGACCAUUCCCUGGCUUUAAGUGUGGCUUUUCCUCUGGAGGGAAGAAUCUGUUUCAUCUCCCCGGGAUGGAGUGACCUUCCUGAUCUGUUGCUGUGCUGGAUGGUAUUAUAAAUACUUCUCUCACCUGUACAGGGAAAUCAAAUAACAAUUAAAAGGAAACAAGUAAAAAGACAUGAAUCAAUUCCAUUAGAAUAGCAAGCAUUUGCUCAAGUCUCUGUAUGGGAUUGGUGUGUAAGUGCACACAAAAAUGUAAAUGGAUUAAGUACCAUAUUUUUCUUUUUGCUGCGUAUGAUUUUUGUAAUAAUUAAUUGGAUACUUUGGUCAGGAGAUGGUGCUGUAAAUAUGUCUGUUGCUUUUACACUUGUCUGAGCAUCCCUAGUACUACGUGAUACUGAACUCUGAAAGCAGGUUGCCCCGAAGAUCUGUUCUGCAGUGAGACCUGCACUCUGCUGCUGUGAGAAGACGAAUGAAUUAUAUAGUUGAGGGGCUGGCAGGAGGUUUUUGUACCUCAGAUAUGGACUCCUGGCAAUUAGCUAUCACUUGCCCUUCCCUGUACCAUUGUGGGUUUGUCUCAUCCUUUGCCCCCACCUAUGUGGGCAAAAAACAGGCAACUGGUACCGAGUCUCAAACACCAGGUCAUUGUAGCAUCUAAAAUGGAGCUAUAGCAAACUCCUUUUAGCAGUGUCAAUCCCUGCUGAACUUAGCAGUAAUAUCUGACAUCUUGCGUGCUUGAGGUGUCUUGGAAAAGCUCUCUGCAGACAUGUCUUUGCACACUUUUUGUCUUGAAUCUGAGACCCAAACGCAGAAUCUAACAGCUUUGGGCCUGGUGUGUCCACAUAAUGAUUCCUGGAGGACUGCUAGAGAGGUGAACCGUUGUUAGUCCACUCUUCAUUGUUUCUAUAUAUAGUCUGUGCCUA
ensembl:lncRNA